rnacentral:SRP_RNA from 1 species
GCCAGGCAUGGUGGCGCAUGCCUGUAGUCCCAGCUACUAGGGAGGCUGAGGCAGGGGAAUCACUUGAACCCGGGAGGUGGAGGUUGCAGUGAGCCGAUAUUUCGAGAUUGUGCCACUGCACUCCAGCCUGGGUUGACAGAGUGAAACUCUGUCUCAA